rnacentral:misc_RNA from 1 species
GAAAUGCGAUAAGUAAUGUGAAUUGCAGAAUUCAGUGAAUCAUCGAAUCUUUGAACGCACAUUGCGCCCGCCAGCACUCUGGCGGGCAUGCCUGUCCGAGCGUCAUUUCAACCAUCAAGCCCCCCCGGGCUUGUGUUGGGGACCUGCGACUACCCGCAGGCCCUGAAAACCAGUGGCGGACUCGCUGCCGCGCCCGAGCGUAGUAGACUUUCCCUCUCGCUCAGGGCGGUGCCGCGAGGUUCCCGGCCGUUAAAACCUACCAUCAAAAAAACAAAAGGGUUGACCUCGGAUCAGGUAGGAAUACCCGCUGAACUUAA